rnacentral:rRNA from 1 species
UGGGGAAUUUUGCGCAAUGGGCUAACGCCUGACGCAGCAACGCCGCGUGGAGGAUGAAGGUCUUUGGAUUGUAAACUCCUGUCAGCAGGGAAAAAGGGAUAGGCGCUAAUACCGCUUAAACUUGAUUGUACCUGCAGAGGAAGCCCCGGCUAACUCUGUGCCAGCAGCCGCGGUAAUACAGAGGGGGCAAGCGUUAUUCGGAAUUAUUGGGCGUAAAGGGCGCGUAGGCGGCUUUGCAAGUGGCGGGUGAAAUCCCUCGGCUUAACCGAGGAACUGCCUGCCAGACUGUGAGGCUUGAGACCGGGAGAGGUGAGUGGAAUUCCCAGUGUAGCGGUGAAAUGCGUAGAUAUUGGGAGGAACACCAGUGGCGAAGGCGGCUCACUGGACCGGUACUGACGCUGAGGCGCGAAAGCGUGGGGAGCAAACAGG